rnacentral:rRNA from 1 species
GAUCCUGGCUCAGAACGAACGCUGGUGGCGUGUCUUAUACAUGCAAGUCGAGCGAGGCAGCAAUGCCGAGCGGCGAACGGGUGAGUAACGCGUAAGCAAUCUGCCCCAUAUCAGGAAAUACCCGUGCCAACGCGCGGUUAAUGUCCAGGAGAGUGGUCCUCUGCAUGGAGGGUUGACUAGAGAUUUAUCGGUAUGGGAUGAGCUUGCGUCCGAUUAGCUAGUUGGCGGGGCAACGGCCCACCAAGGCGACGAUCGGUAGCCGGCCUGAGAGGGUGAUCGGCCACAUUGGGACUGAGAUACGGCCCAGACUCCUACGGGAGGCAGCAGUAGGGAAUAUUGCACAAUGGGGGAAACCCUGAUGCAGCAACGCCACGUGUGGGAAGAAGCAUUUCGGUGUGUAAACCACUGUCAUGAGGGAAUAAGGCCCGCCUACGGACGGGAUUGAAUGUACCUUGAGAGGAAGCACCGGCAAACUUCGUGCCAGCCGCAGC